GCGGAGGGAUCAUUACUGAGUUACCGCUCAUCAACCCUUUGUGAACAUACCUUAACUGUUGCUUCGGCGGGUAGGCGUCCCCUAAAAAGGACGUCUCCCGGCCCUCUCCCGUCCGCGGGUGGGGCGCCCGCCGGAGGAUAACCAAACUCUGAUUUAACGACGUUUCUUCUGAGUGACACAAGCAAAUAAUCAAAACUUUUAACAACGGAUCUCUUGGUUCUGGCAUCGAUGAAGAACGCAGCGAAAUGCGAUAAGUAAUGUGAAUUGCAGAAUUCAGUGAAUCAUCGAAUCUUUGAACGCACAUUGCGCCCGCCAGCAUUCUGGCGGGCAUGCCUGUUCGAGCGUCAUUUCAACCCUCAAGCUCUGCUUGGUGUUGGGGCUCUACGGUUGACGUAGGCCCUUAAAGGUAGUGGCGGACCCUCUCGGAGCCUCCUUUGCGUAGUAACAUUUCGUCUCGCAUUGGGAUUCGGAGGGACUCUAGCCGUAAAACCCCCAAUUUUACUAAGGUUGACCUCGGAUCAGGUAGGAAUACCCGCUGAACUUAAGCAUAUC
rnacentral:rRNA from 1 species